AUGAAGACACUGACUGGACCUUUUGUCCUGUACUUGUGGCUGCAGCUGAACUGUGUGAGCAGAGGAGAGCAGCUGGAGCAGCAGCCUUCUCUCCUGAGUGUCCAGGAGGGAGACAGCGCCGUUAUCAACUGCACCUACACAGACACUAAUUAUUACUUCUACUGGUACAGGCAGGAGCCUGAGGCAGGUCUCCAGCUCCUUAUAAAUGUUCCUUCAAGUGUGGACAGAAAAGAAGAACAAGGACUCAUUGUCCUCCCGAAGAAGAAGGACAAACAUCUCUCCCUGAACUUCACAGCUGCCCAUCCUGAGGACUCAGCCACGUACUUCUGUGCAGCAAGUGCACAGUGCUCCCCAGGCAUCCGCUGCCUGUACAUAAAACUAGACCAGGGCUGGAGACAGACAUAUUUCCCAUUGUUGAGAUGA